UACGUAGGGCGCAAGCGUAUCCGGAAUUUAUUGGGCGAAAGAGCUCGUAGGCGGUUUGUCGCGUCUGCUGUGAAAACUGGAGGCUCAACCUCCAGCCUGCAGUGGGUACGGGCAGACUAGAGUGCGGGUAGGGGAGAUUGGAAUUCCUGGUGUAGCGGUGGAAUCGCAGAUAUCAGGAGGAACACCGAUGGCGAAGGCAGAUCUCUGGGCCGUAACUGACGCUGAGGAGCGAAAGCUGGGGGAGCGA
rnacentral:rRNA from 1 species